rnacentral:misc_RNA from 1 species
GGAAGUAAAAGUUCGUAACAAGGUUUCCGUAGGUGAACCUGCGGAAGGAUCAUUAUUGUAUAACCGAGGUGCGAGGGCUGUCGCUGACCCGAAAGGUCGUGCACGCCCGAGUGCCCUCACACACAUCCAUCUCACCCCUAUGUGCACCACCGCGUGGGUCCCCCUUUGGCUUGUUCGGAGGGGGGCUUACGUUUUCACACAAACUUUGUAUGCAGUGUAGAAUGUAUUUUUUGUUUUUGCGAUCACGCAAUCAAUACAACUUUCAACAACGGAUCUCUUGGCUCUC